UUGAAGGAAGCACAAUGAACUAUCAAUUACUGUACCUUGCAUCUUAUUCCAGGGAUCAUUUACCUCCCAGUAUAAAUCUGACAAAUUACCAGAAAUGUUACAUCACAUCAGGAGAUCUAUGCAUGUGCGAAACUAAAAUAUGAUGACUAAGGGAUGAGGUAAUGGAAUUGUUUAAUAAUUCAAACUUGCCAAGGAGCAAAUAAAUUACGCAAAUGAAAUCUACGAAGGAUCAGAAUAGUCAAUAACAUUAGAGGGCAAAGAUGGUCAAUACGAAGUUUCUAUAUAUGAGUAAAAAGCGAAAAUUAUACAGAUAUAGGAAAUAACGAAUUCAGAGAUAAAAAGAUAUGGAUGGAAGGAGACAACGAUUCAGAGAAUAAGGAAGUACGCUUGGUAUUAAAAACAAUCGGUAAUAACAAUCGUUAUCAAACGAAGAUAAACAAUCAGGUAAUAAACAUGUCCGUGAAUAAAAUAAUCAUGUAUAUUUUUAUUCGUAAGGAAGCACAGUAAGAGAAAGAAAGUGUCUAAUAGUUUUUCUAGUAGUUAAAAUAUUUCAGUGUUAAUUAUGUAGUGUCAUAAAGAUCUGAUGAUCGAAAUAUUUCGAUUAAGUGAGGAGAAAGGCGAGGAGAAAAGGAGACGGUGAAGAAACAUUUCAAUAAUUGUUACAUCUACCAAGGAGAAAAAGUAAGCAAAUGAAAUCUAUGACGAAAGAUGUCGAUAACAUUAGAGGACAAAAAUAGUCAACACAAUAUUGUGUUGAUAAGUAAAGGACUGACAAAGACGUAGAGUAACGACGAAAAUAAAAAUACAGAAGACAAAUAAUUUUCGAAACAAGACUGACGAAGGUGUAAUAAUCGAAAAAUCCGAUAUAGAUGUUAAAGGCUUAGUCAUCGUAUUUGUCUUAAAUAUUGAGUACGGAGAUUAUGUAAUCUACGAAGAGACAAUCAUUACGUAUAGAGAUAAUACUAAAUAAGAAAAAUGCGAUGGGGAAUGUGAAUUCCAUUGUCUUGAAAGCUGUUUACAAUCGGAACUUUCAUUGAAUUUUCCGAAGCAAACCUUUAAAAUCUUAAAUAUUCUUAGCAAAUAUGGCCAGUUGAUUCACAUAAAUAGUUUAUAUCUAUAGAAAUAAGAUGAAAAUAUUACUUGUGAAUUAAAUACUCCUACAUUUGCACCUAUACUGAAUAUUUCGUCACGAAUGGCAAUAAUAGCAAUAAUAGUAGGGAGGAAAUAAUACAACAACUGAUGGCAUCCGACAUCAUCGAUAGAACUACUGCGUUGUCCAAUCCGAUGUAAUUGUUCAAAAAAUAUACGAAUGUUUAUGGACUAUCAAGCAGUAAAUACAGAAACAAGUCGAUAAACUGGAAAAUACGAAGUAUUGUAGUAUAUUCGACUCAAACAGCGGAUCUUAUCAAGUACCGAUGGUUAAAUAUUAGAAUGUUACUAUGUUCGGCAUACUUGAUAGACGUUUCAUUAGAAUAUCGUCCGGGCUUUAGAAUGCUCCUGCCUUUUUCCAAUGAAUGCUGAUGUCGUUUUAGAUAAGCUUCGGAACGCUAUUACAAUUACAUAUUUUGACGAUAUUAUUAUUUUCUGAAAUAAUAUCGAAGAGGAAAUAGAUGACCUCAUACAGUAUUCGCUAUGUUACACCAUGAUCGAUAUUAUUAAUGAUCGCUUUAUUAGAAUUGCUUCUUUUGCAAGCGUAAGAAUAGACAGGACACUUCAGAUACCAAGAAGUGAUUUUAGAAAUAUCGAAUCAAGAUUUUUAUUAUUUAUAGGCGUAAAAGUCUGCCUAAUUAAAUUUAGCAUUACGAAAUCUGUAACAUUAAUUGAUUUUUCAAAAACCAGAUUAAAAAAUCUCUUUUUUUAAAAGUUUUUGAAUUUAUCAAUUUAAAUUAAAAUUGGCACUAUCAGUCGAAAUGAUAGUGGUAUAAUGAUUAUUAUUAAUAACAAUAAACUGAUCUUUCAUAUCGAAGUAACGAGACUGCAAUAGCAGUUCAUCUCCAAAUAAUUUGUAUAACAUGUGGAUCAGUAUAUUCAGAUGUGUAUUUUAUUGUGUCAGUGGGUAGUCAUAGUAGAGAAGAUAAAGUAGUUAAGAGUGGAAUUUGAAGUAUAGUUAGAUCGGAAAUAGAAAUGUAUAGUUUGUGGGUUUUUGAAGAAUAUCCACAGGAAACAACUGUGGGAGAGAAAGCAAGUAUAGGGUGUUUUAUGGUGUAGUUGGGGUAUCCGAGUUUAAUAAUUUUAAGAUAUGUAAUACAGUUAUAAUAAAAGUGAUAAUAGUAAUAAUUACAAUAAUAGUAAUAAUAAAAAUUAUAUUAAUAUAAUAAUGAUAAUAAUUGUAUGUUAAUAAUAACAAUAAUAAUAUAGUAAUAAUAAUAAUAAUAAUGAUAAUAUAAUGAAAUAUUAGUCAUAAGAAUGGUAGCAAAGGAAAGGUGACGUAACGAAAGUAUAGUAAAACGUAUAUAAAAAUUUUCUUGUGCAUAUAAUGUACAAAAAGAUAAGUGACUGAAACAAUGCAGCAAUUUUUUCUUUAAUGUAGAUAGUUAGUUUAAUUUUUGGCAAAAGUCUGUGUUACAAUAAAACGUUGUCAAAAGAAAUAAUGAAAGAAGAAAAACUCGUAUCUUUUGUUCAUCCUCUCGGCAAAAAACGUAUAAGUGAUAAACACUUGAAAGUUUUGUUUUGUUAAUUUCGAGCAUAUACUUUGACGUUAUAAUUCGUACGAAUUCAAGGGCACAUUUUGCCUCCCACUAUUAUGUCAUAUUACUUGGUGUAGGAAUAUAACGAGAUGGAGAUGUUAGAAAGAUGAGCAGUACGAUAAAAUUAAAGCAAUAUAUUUCAAAUUAUUUCUUUAAUGUUUACAGUGA